UACGGAGGGUGCGAGCGUUGUCCGGAAUCACUGGGCGUAAAGGGCGCGUAGGCGGCCCGGCAAGUCAGUGGUGAAAGCCCGAGGCUCAACUUCGGGUCGGCCACUGGUACUGCUAGGCUUGAGUCGACUAGAGGCAGAUGGAAUUCCGGGUGUAGCGGUGGAAUGCGUAGAGAUCCGGAAGAACACCGGUGGCGAAGGCGGUCUGCUGGGGUCGAACUGACGCUGAGGCGCGACAGCGUGGGGAGCAAACAGG
rnacentral:rRNA from 1 species